AUGGCGGACCUGGCUUCCACCUGCAAGGAUAAACUGGCAUACUUUCGAAUAAAGGAACUCAAAGAUAUCUUGCAUCAGUUAGGCCUACCAAAGCAAGGAAAGAAGCAGGAUCUUAUUGACAGGGUAUUGGCACUGUUAUCAGAUGAGCAAGGUCAAAGGCAUCAUGGGUGGGGAAGAAAAAAUUCUUUCACAAAGGAGGCAGUGGCAAAAAUUGUCGAUGAUAUAUACAGCAGGAAAAUGCAAAUCCAAUCUGCUCCCGAUCUAGCCACUAGGUCCCACACUGGAUCAGAUUUAUUCCGGCCUAAAGAUGAAGUCAACGACUCCUUCCAGCCACAGCCAGUGACUAAGGUCCGCUGCAUUUGUGAUAGCAAGUUGCUAAACGAUAAUAUGAUCCAGUGUGAGGAUGAUCGAUGCCAUGUGUGGCAACAUAUGAGCUGUGUGCUCGUUCCAGAUAAGCCCACUGAGGGUGUUGGCCCUGAAGUUCCACCCCACUUCUACUGUGAAUUAUGCCGACUAAGUCGGGCAGACCCGUUUUGGGUCACUACAGGGAAUCCAUUACCCCCUCUGAAAUUCAUGUCAUCUGGUGUUGCAAAUGAUGGAACAAGUGUACUUCAAACCGUGGAGAAAACCUUCCAACUUUCUCGAGCCGAUAGGGAAACAGUUCAGAGAUCAGAAUAUGAUCUCCAGGUUUGGUGCAUUCUUAUGAAUGAUAAAGUUCAGUUCAGGAUGCAGUGGCCCCAAUAUGCAGAAUUGGAAGUGAAUGGUUUUGCUGUACGAGUAGUGACCAGACCUGGUUCUCAGUUGCUAGGCAUAAAUGGACGGGAUGAUGGGCCAUUGAUAACCACAUGCAGUAGAGAAGGAACUAACAAGAUCUGCUUACGGAGGGUUGAUAAUCGAACAUUUUGCUUUGGAGUCCGAGUUGCUAGGAGGAGGAGUGUUCCUCAGGUUUUAAAUUUAGUUCCAAAGGAAGCUGAAGGUGAGUCUUUUGAGGAUGCUCUUACUCGUGUUCGGCGCUGUCUCGGAGGUGGAGAUACUGCAGAGAACGCUGAUAGUGACAGUGAUUUGGAAGUGGUUACUGAAUCUGUUACAGUCAACCUUCGUUGCCCUAAUAGUGGAUCCAGAAUGAAGACUGCUGGAAGGUUCAAGCCUUGCGUUCACAUGGGUUGUUUUGAUCUCGACACCUUCGUGGAACUGAAUCAGCGGUCCCGCAAGUGGCAGUGUCCAAUAUGUUUAAAGAACUACUCUCUUGAGAAUUUGAUGAUUGAUCCUUACUUCAAUCGGAUUACUUCUCUGUUGCGUGAUUGUAGUGAAGAUGUCAAUGAGAUUGAUAUUAAGCCAGAUGGAUCUUGGCGUAUAAAGGGUGAUGUACCAACUAGGGAAUUAUCUCAGUGGCAUAUGCCUGAUGGCACGCUGUGCAUCUUGAAGGAAGAUAACAAACCUGGUGUUGAGAAUUUUAAUGAACUCAAGAUAGAAGGUACUUCUGAUGGCCAUAAGAGUUUAAAAAUUGGAAUCAAGAGAAAAAAUGGAAUUUGGGAAGUUAGUAACAAAGCAGAUGACAAGAAGCCUUCUGUGGUAGGAAAUAUCACCCAGAACAAUAUUACUUUCCGAACUCCAAACACUUUCCCUAUGAGCAGUAGUCCCACUGGGAGUUAUAGAGAUGGGGAAGACACAAGUGUGAACCAGGAGGGCAGUAUGCAUAUUGAUUUAUCAUUGAACAAUGGUCAUGAGUUUGAAAGUUUUCCUCUCAAUUUCGGCCAAACAUAUAAUACAGAGGAUACAUCACAGCAACAACUUAGUGCUGGAGAUGUCAUUGUUCUUAGUGAUUCUGAUGAAGAGAAUGACACAAUUGUUUGCCCACCAACUGUCUACGACAAUUCUACUGUAAAUGACGGUGGUUUUCCUUUUGCCACUAGUGAUGCUGGAUUUACUGGAAGAUACCAGGAAGAUCCUGGUGUCGGUACUAGUGGCCUUGGUUUAUUAAGCAACAACGCUGAUGAUUUUGAGAUGACUAAUUGGCAAAUGCCCUAUUCUCAACCGGAGCAAGGCUACCAGUUUUUCGGGGAUGGCACCGCCGAUACUUAUGUUGGUUCGCACAAUUCCUUUAGCAUUACACCAAACGACUAUUCCCUUGAUUGUAAUGUUGGCAUAGAGGAGGCUUCUGUAGCUCAUGACCUUCCAGUUUACCGCAGUAAUAAUGAAAUGCAUGGAAGUUUGGUUGAUAACCCAUUGGCUUUUGGUGGUGAUGAUCCUUCUUUGCAAAUUUUUCUUCCAAGUCAGCCUUCUUCUGCUCCCCUUCAGGAAGAACCAAGUGAGCGUGUAAAUGCAUCAAAUGGGGUUCAGUCUGAUGAUUGGAUCUCUCUUACGCUCGCAGCCGGUGGAGGUGGUAAUGAAGUGCCUGCAGCUGCUAAUGGUUUAAAUUUGCAAGAACAAAUACGGUCAAAUGAGACAGGAGUGGAACCAUUAAUUGACGCUGCUUCUGUGCUUCCAAGCACAAACAAUGACAGAGAUGACGGAGCUAAUUUAAAUCCAAUAAGGAUUGAAAAUAUAUUUUCUCAUCCUCGCCAGCCUCGGUCUCGGUCGGUCAGGCCUCGACUUUGUUUAUCAAUAGAUUCUGACUCUGAGUAG
rnacentral:rRNA from 1 species